rnacentral:rRNA from 1 species
CGGUCCAGACUCCUACGGGAGGCAGCAGUAGGGAAUCUUCCACAAUGGACGCAAGUCUGAUGGAGCAACGCCGCGUGAGUGAAGAAGGCUUUCGGGUCGUAAAACUCUGUUGUUGGAGAAGAAUGGUCGGCAGAGUAACUGUUGUCGGCGUGACGGUAUCCAACCAGAAAGCCACGGCUAACUACGUGCCAGCAGCCGCGGUAA